GUGUUGUCCGGAAUUAUUGGGCGUAAAGAGCUCGUAGGCGGUGUGUCGCGUCGAUCGUGAAAACUUACGGCUUAACUGUGAGCGUGCGGUCGAUACGGGCAUCACUGGAGUUCGGCAGGGGAGACUGGAAUUCCUGGUGUAGCGGUGAAAUGCGCAGAUAUCAGGAGGAACACCGGUGGCGAAGGCGGGUCUCUGGGCCGAUACUGACGCUGAGGAGCGAAAGCGU
rnacentral:rRNA from 1 species